rnacentral:lncRNA from 1 species
AGAGAAGCCCUUACUGAUUUCAUGUACAAUGGUUUCUCAAUUCCCAAGGGAUGGAAGGUAAAUAUUACCCGUCGAGCCGACACGAUUGCUACACUUUAGUCACUCCGUCCAUUUUUGUCAUUUACCAUUAUUAACUUGGACGCAACGCAAUAAUCACAUCACUCACAAAUCGUGUUUGUUAUAUUGUCCAGUGCGAUUGACUUACAAAACCCUAUUUCUUUUAUUCUUGUAGAUAUAUUGGAGCGCAAAUUCGACACAUAGAAACCCCGAUGUUUUUGCUGAGCCCCUAAAGUUUGAUCCUUCAAGAUUUGAGGGAAGUGGACCCGCUCCUUACACAUUUGUUCCUUUUGGAGGGGGGCCUAGAAUGUGCCCUGGAAAAGAGUAUGCUCGUUUGGAAAUUCUUGUUUUCAUGCACCAUCUUGUUAAAAGAUUCAGGUUUGAGAAAAUAAUUCCAGAUGAGAAAAUAAUUGUAAAUCCAAUGCCAAUCCCAGAAAAGGGACUGCCUGUUAGACUUUAUCCCCACAAAGCUUAAGAUUUUUGAAUCCUUUUGAAAAGUUCAGCUGCUGGCUAUAUAUAGAGAUGCAUAACAAUGUUUGCUUUGUAAUUUUAUAUUUUGUCAUUAAUUGCACUGUAAUUUUAUAUAUUGUCGUUAAUUUUUCUUAUUUUUUCUUUUACUUUGAAAGAAAAUUUACUUCUUUCAAUUAAUCAAAUGUGAGAGCCAUGAAAUUUAUAAUAAACUAAGAUUAGAAUUAAUUCCUAAAUUUGUGAUCUUACAAUGCCUUUGAACAAGGGCGCCUAUAAUCUCACAUGGAUCAAUAAUUGUGUCGGGCCUAUAAUGUUGGGAAAAGCAGGAUGUUGUAAAUUCGAGGAUCACUUGUUCAAUGAAUGUAGUGAAUAUUUUAAAAGAUUAUAUUCUUCUAUUUUUUCCUUCUUGCGUUAUGCAACUUGACCAACUCUAUGUUGGGAUUUUUGACCCA